UGGCUCUCGCAUCGAUGAAGAACGCAGCAAAGCGCGAAAUGUAAUGUGAAUUGCAGAAUUCAGUGAAUCAUCGAAUCUUUGAACGCACCUUGCGCUCUAGGGUCAUUCCUUAGAGCAUGCUUGUUUGAGUGUCUCGUACCUCUCAAUCCCACCUUGAAAAAGGUUGUUAGGAUUGGAUCAUGACGGUUUGCCUUUCUUUAGGCUCCGUUUAAAUACAACGAGCUGUAUCUUUGACGUUGGCGGCUUGACCUGUUGUUGUAACUUAAAACUCAAUAGGGACGCUCGUCGGAAUGAGCUUACCAAAAAUAUCUUUGACACUUUGACCUCAAAUCAAGUAGGACUACCCGCUGA
rnacentral:misc_RNA from 1 species